UUUGUCUAUAUACACCAACCCUCGAAGGUGUUCCGGUGUUUUCGUCUCCAGCUUCUCUAGCUUUUUUUUUUCGUGUGCAGCCAUGUCGACCAAGCAAGGUGGAAAGGCGAAACCGCUCAAGCAACCCAAAGCUGCAAAGAAGGAAUACGACGAGGAUGACGUUGCUCAUCUCCAGAAGAAGAAAGAUGAGGAGAAGGCACUGAAGGAGUUGAAGGCCAAGGCUUCUCAGAAGGGUACUUUUGGAGGGUCUGGACUCAAGAAGAGCAGCGGGAAGAAAUAGCAAUUGCUGUUAUAUGCUCAAAUCAGCCUUCUGAAUCACUUACUUUUAAUAUGUUUGGUCUAAAGCUUUAUUAUUGUAAUGCUUGCUACUUUUUCUUGUUAGCUGUGCUCGUAUUGAUGAUUAUUGAGGAUGGAGUGCAUGCUUUAUCUGUUUGUUUAAUUGCCGCCUUAUAAAUUAAUAGGAAAUCUUGGACUGAGAAACCAGUUUUUCACCUUUGAUAAUGUAACUGCACUCUAUUCAAUUAAUUUUCUGAAUUAUUCGUUUUUUUU